CAAGAAGCUCAUUGUAGAAGGUAAACAGUUACUUGUUCUCAAGUUUUCUUCUAUUUGAAAUAGUGAUUUCUAAUGUCACCAGCUACAGAGUGUUGUGGCAAAGACUCACCUCAUUGGGAUUACCUCACCAUCAUUGUGUUUGCAGCACAUCUUUGUAUCCAGGCUGAAUGCCACAUCCCAAGGUCCAUGUGUUUAUUUCCUAAGGGUCAUCAGAACGAGCUGGUCACACGGGCACGAGGUCCCCUCCACUAAACCUACAACCUGCAUGCUCAUCACCUCAGGAAGGUAGAAUUUCCCCCACCCAUUCACCACUUUAUCCUUGUUUUUGUAAAUGGUGUCAUCAAGGUCUGCUAUCUUCAGUGUGGCACCAGCUGGUUUCUUUAAGACGGCAGUCUCGCCUUUGAAUUUGGACACAAGGUCUGACACUGAUGUAAGGUAAUCUGGACCUGCAAACAUGUCAUGUGUGAGAAGUUUAAUAAACCAUAAAAAUACAGUA